rnacentral:rRNA from 1 species
UACGGAGGAUGCGAGCGUUAUCCGGAUUUACUGGGUGUAAAGGGAGCGCAGACGGCACUGCAAGUCUGAAGUGAAAGCCCGGGGCUCAACCCAUGAACUGCUUUCAAAACUGUUUUUCUUGAGUAGUGCAGAGGUAGGCGGAAUUCCCGGUGUAGCGGUGAAAUGCUUAGAUAUCACGAAGAACCCCGAUUGCGAAGGCAGCUUGCUAAACUGUAACUGACGUUCAUGCUCGAAAGUGUGGGUAUCAAACAGG